rnacentral:rRNA from 1 species
AGUGAACGCUGGCGGUAGGCCUAACACAUGCAAGUCGAACGGCAGCACAGUAAGAGCUUGCUCUUACGGGUGGCGAGUGGCGGACGGGUGAGGAAUACAUCGGAAUCUACUUUUUCGUGGGGGAUAACGUAGGGAAACUUACGCUAAUAUCGCAUACGACCUACGGGUGAAAGCAGGGGAUCUUCGGACCUUGCGCGAUUGAAUGAGCCGAUGUUGGAUUAGCUAGUUGGCGGGGUAAAGGCCCACGAAGGCGACGAUCCGUAGCUGGUCUGAGCGGAUGACCAGCCACACUGGAACUUAGCCACGGUCCAGACUCCUACGGUCAGCAGCAGUGUGCAAUAUUGGACCAUGGGCGCAAGCAUGAUCCAGCCAUACCGCGUGGGUGAAGAGGGCCUUCGGGUUGUUAAGCCCUUUUGUUGGGAAAGAAAAGCAGCAGGUUAAUACCCCGCUGUUCUGCCGGUAACCAAAGAAUAAGCACCGGCUACCUUCGUG